CACCAACCUGUACAAUGGAUAUGAUCUGCAUUCUGUUAUCCUGUUAGGAAUUACAGGGUUGCCACUUUCAAGCAUAGCUCUUGCACUCUCAACUUCUUUAGGCAACACAGCCUUCAAUUCGUCCUCGAAAGCUACAAUCUUUUGGAAGAUUGAGCUGUUCACAUUCUUCUCACUUUCACCAUUCUUCAUUGCAUGAUCAACAAGGACUUGUCUCAGCUUCUGCAUCAAAGGGUAGGUUGAACUGCAGGGAUCAUCAGCAUAGGCAAACACGUAUUCCCUGUCCACGACUCGAAGCAAUUCCUUCUCGCAGAAUCUUGCAGGAUGAAGUUCACCAUUAGCACCCAUUGUCAAAGUUCUCUUAGCUACUUGGCUCACUGUGUUCUUGACAGCAUUCCUCAAGUUUUCCUCCAAAUGCCUUAAGUCAAUAGCUUGGCAAAGCGCCACGAGAUAGGUUGAUGACAUUAGCUUCAAGAUGUCAACAGCCUCAGCGGUUUUCCUUGCUGAGAUUAAGCCCAAUGAAUUCACAUCUUGGUUGUGUUGCUCAGCACUUUGGACAUGGUUAGUCACUGGAUUUGCCAAAAAUUGAAGUUCCGAGCAGUAAGAAGCCAUUGCAAUUUCAGCUCCCUUGAGUCCAUAGUCCAAGCUUGGAUUCCUUCCUGCUGUGAGAUUAGAUGGCAGCCCAUUGUUGUAAUAGUCGUUGACAAGUUCCGAAAAUUGGGCAAACAUCAAUUUCCCAAUUGAUGCAAGGGCCAAUCUUGUAUUAUCCAUGGAGACACCAAUAGGGGUACCUUGGAAGUUGCCACCAUGUAAGGCCUUGUUUCUUGAAACGUCGAUCAAUGGGUUGUCGUUCACUGAGUUAAUCUCCCUCUCGAUCAUCUUAGUUGCUGCACGGAUGACUUCAAUUUGAGGGCCAAGCCACUGUGGAGAUGUUCGGAGAGCAUAACGAUCUUGCUUUGGUUUUUGAAGAGGAUCCCAUUUCAUGGAGCUUCUGAGCUGCCUUGACAUAAGAGCUGCCAUCCAAAAUGUGUUCCAUAAUAGCAGCAGCCUCAAUCUGACCAGGGUGAUGCUUCAACUUGUGUGUCAAAUAGUCAGUGAAUUCGGGCUUUCCAUUCAUCACUUCAGCGAAAAUCGCCGAUAAAACUUCAGACAUGACAGCAAGAAUGUUGGAAUCAAACAGGACCAUUGAUGCCAUACCAGAACCAACUGCUGUACCAUUCACAAGUGCAAGUCCUUCUUUAGGCUGCAACUCGAAAAAUCCACCAGUAACACCAGCCACGCGGAACGCUUCCUCAGCAUUAAGUUUCUCACCAUUUGGUCCAACAGCCUUGGAGUUAGGCCUGCCAGUGAGCAAACCAGCAAUGUAGGAAAGAGGGACAAGAUCACCCGAGGCAGUGAUUGUGCCACGGAGGGGCAAACACGGGGUGAUGUUGCUGUUGAUCAACUUAGUAAUUGCUUCCAAGAUUUCAAAUCUAAUGCCAGAGUAGCCUUGAAGCAGAGUGUUGAUCCUAACAAGCAUAGCUGCCCUUGUUGCUGAAUGUGGUAAAGUGUGAGAUGAUUCUGUUCCAUUGCCAAAAACUCCAGCAUUCAAGAACCUGAAAAAAAAUCAUAAUUCAUCAAGAUCACAUUUUUAACUAAAAUUCUACUAACAUGUGUCAUCAAGUAGAGCAUAUGAUGUUGAUGGUCCGAGGAGGAGCACUCAAAGGGCGAGGGGGGCCCAUUUCGCAUUACCAACCCCACGGAAACUCCGAAUACAGAACAAGAAAGAUUAUUUGUACACGGAUUUACAAGUUACAAGUUACAAAUAAAGAUGAGCACAAAUUUGAUAUAAAAUAUAAUAAAUACUUAUUUAUAAUAUUUUUAUAUGUGACACUAUAAAAUAGAUAUCUGACCAGAGAUGGCACAUGGGAACUAACAUUAUACCUUAAAAAGUUGGAACACUUUGUCUCUCAUCAAUUUUUGUGAUGAAGACACAAGAUACUAUAGUUUUACUUAUUCAAAAUAAAGAUGCUUAUUAGAAUAUAUUUUUUUUAUAUACAAAUUAAGAAAACCAAUUUAAAAAAAUUACUAAGUAGUAACUUUCACAUGUUUCUCCAAGUUGAUAAAAACAAAAAUUGAAGGAAGUAAAAUGACUAAAAUCUCCCCUCACCUACCACACUAACUUUUUCCAAACCCCACAUGCACAAGUCAAUUUGGUGGUUCAAGUUGUACAAUUAUAUUGCAUUUAAAUAAAUAACUUUCCAUUCAAAGUUUAAUAUGAUAGUUUGAAAUUAAAUAAAUAACUUGCUAUAUAGCUAUUAACUCAAAAAUACCAGACCAUUAAUACCUAUUUAUUCAGAAUAGUAAUAUAUCUUUAGAUUAUAAAGAUGCAAGUCAUAUUUCAUUUGUCUGAUAUAGAAAAGUUUUAAUUUUUAUACUCCCAACACAGUAAAAGAAUAUCCACACUAUUUGAUCACAUGAAAAAUAAAUAUAAGUAACACAAAAAAUAUGACAAUUGUCCUACUAUAUUGAGAGCAUAAAGUUAGAUGCUAUUUUUUCAAGGGACAAAUGAGAUUUAUAGAAAAACGUUAAAUUAUAUACUCUAUAGAGAAAAUUCUAUAGUCAAAAUAAUUUUACGCUAUCAAAUCAAAUGAAAAAUAGCACAACAAAUAACGUAGCCGAUUGACCUAACAUGGGACUUGUAGGAAUUUUAACACUAUUAGAUCACACAAAGAAUAAUUAUAGGUAUCAUCAUGACAUAACAAGCUACGUAUAAAAUAUAAAAAUUAUUUACGUUAUCAAGUGUAUAUAUAAAAAUAGUUUACCUAAUAAGUUCUUUUUGAAGGGCACCACCAUUUUUUGUUCUUCUAUGAGAUGUGUCACCAAAUCCAGUAGUCACACCAUAACUAUCUGUACCUUUACUCAUACUAUCCAUAACCCAAUCACUACUAGCUUUCACACCAGCCCUUGCACUUUCAGAAAGUUCCACUUUGACCCCAUUACUUUUGUUAUCAGCAUUUGCAAUGGAUGCAACUUGUGCAACUGUCAAAGUUUCACCCCCAAGUUUCACAAUUGGCCUUCUAAAUUCAUCCACCAUCUUUUUCACUUCAUCCAAAUGACUCCCUCUUAAAGAUUCAGCAGCCAUUUCCCAAUUUAAUGGAUCAUGGACAUUAAUUGAUUUCUUGCAUAAUUCCAUGGCUACAACUUCUCCAUUAACAUGUCCAUUUUGUGCAAUUGAUGCCAUUAGAUCAAGAAAAUGGAUAGAAUUGUAAUGGAGAAAUUUUACUUAGGAGAAUUUGGAGAAGAGAAAAAAUGGGAAUUUUAUUUAUAUAAAAAAAUGUUAUGAACUUUGAUUAAUAUUUAUUUUUGGUUAUGGUAGUUGGGAUAUGUGGUGAGUAUAAAUAGAGAGGAACAAAGGAUGGUAGGUAAAGAAAAUUAUGUGAGAGGGGGUAGUAGGAAAUGACCAAAUAUGGUGGUUGUUGGAAGAUUAAUUAUGGCCAUUGAUUUUAAUUGUGAUUAACGGUUGAGAUUUGAGGAUGACGUGGGUAUUUCAUGCAACAUGGAUAUAUAUUUUUAAUAUAUUGAGAGAGAAAAAAAAGAUUUUGGGGGUUGGUGGAUUUAGGAUAUGUUUGGAGUUGUUUUUGGGUUGUUGGGAAAAAAAUAAGGGGUUAAAUUGUAAUUCUAUAUUCUUUCCUCUUGAUGUUGAUGGAAGAAAUAAAGGAGUAUUAACAUAGAUAAAAUUCAUAAAUGUUAGCAUAAGAUUUUACUAAUACUAGGUUGAAUAGGUUGAUUCGGUUCGAUUUUAAAGUUUAUUUUUGAUUUAACAAUUAUCAGUUUAUAGACAUGCUAAAUUGUUAUAGGACCAUUAAUAUAAGAUAUUGAUUUAUCAAUUUGUAUGACUUUUUUUCGUAUCUCGUAAUUUCUUUUGUCGCGAUAAAAAACUCUAAGAUAGAUUUAGACUAAUUUAUAGACAUCUAUUUUAAAUGAAAAGGUAUGAUAUAUUCCGUAAUUAAUAGUACGAAAACGUUUACAAAUCGAAGUAAAUAUUAUUUUCUCUAUUUAAAAUCCUAUAGUUUAUUGUUUGAUAGAUGCGUUUUUACUUUCGUAUUACUAUUUUCAAUACGUGAAAAUGAUUAUCACAGUUGAAAGAUAGAAAUUUAAAAUUUAAUAUUUCUUUUAGUAUGAAUGAAUUUCAAUAUAGAAGAAUUAAUCCACGAUUAAAAAAAAGUGAAAUUAGCUAUGAAUAUUAUUGUAAUAAGUUGUUAAAUUGCUCAUAGCUAACUAAAUAAGGGAUUAAUUUACAAAUUAGUAAAAGUUUGGAUCUCUCAAAUCUAGAGAAGGAUUUUGAAUAUCCACUCUAUAACAACCAGAAUACUUUUUGUUUUUUCUGUUUUAGCCCCCUUUGUUUUCAUAAUGUCAAUUAGAGUCAUUAUAUUUCACUUUUUACAUUUUGCCCCUCUCAAUUAAAUAAGUUUGACUGAGCAAGGACAAGACAAGAACGCGUCCGCAAAAGUCCAAGGCACCCAUUAUUUUUAUUUUAUUAUUACUAUAAAUAUCACUUAAAUAGUUUUAAAAAUAUAUAUAUAUAUUAAUUUUUGUUACAAAGUUUGUAAGAAUUUAAUAAGUUAAUUGUGAAAAGCAUUAUAAUACCACCCAUAGGUAGGGUGAAAUUUGAGGACGGCAGAGUUAUAUUUUCGCUUACAAUAACUUUAGCGUAGAUUUUGUAUUAUAUUAAAAAUUUACUAUGUAACAAUUAUAAAUAAUUUAAUUAUAAUUAGUAAAUUGUUUUUUUAUAGAAUUUAAAAAAUAUAAACUCAAAAUUUUAAUAUCAUGUUUUUGUAAUCGGGAUCCAUCUACUUUUAACUAGAGGUUUCGAAAAAAAUUUCAUUCCCUUAAUUGACAUACUCAACACAAAUUUGGGUUGGUCGAGCCAACAGGUUAUGAAUACUAGAUGUUUAAAUAAAAAUAAAAUAAAAAAUUACAUGAGUAAUUUACUAAUAUGUUGAUUGGAUUGAUAAAAGUCAUUCAUCACAAUGGAAUUUGACCAGUUUAUUGAAUUUUAGUAUAUAGUUAUUUUACGAAUUUCAUCACUUUUUAAAUAUAAAAUUUAUCAAUCCUCAACCAUUCAAGAAAAUAAUGUCUAAGCAAGCAUGUUUUAACGUAUUUAAUUUCAUAAAUAUUCAUCAUAAUUUAAUCAGUUUUACUAUAAUUGUCAAUCUAACAUAAUUCUUCUCUCUUAAUUAUAUUUGGAUGUGAAACUGAUAAUUUGACCAAACUAAUGAUUAGACUAAUAAUUUGAACAAACUCACGCAAAUAAGAUCGAAUUAAUUUGCAGCUUUUUUAUAUUAUUUAAUAAUACUAUAUAAAUCUGUAAUUAAUUUUAUUUUAAGUUAUAAAUAAAUAUGUUUUUAUUAAACUCUUUAAUCGACACGAAAGAAAUAACUUUAUUCAUAGUCAAUAUUAAUCCGUCAAAAUUCAAUAUGAGUCAAAAUUAACAACUAAUAUAUAGUACAAACCAAGUGAUUUCCAUGCUACUGCCAUUUCUUCUUGUUUUUUUUUUAAAAAAAAUAAUAUAUUUUACAUUUGACUUUUUUAAUUGGGUAGGAAGGUUGAUAGAAAUUGAUGGCUUUGAAUAGGAAAGACACGUGAAGAUAAUAAGGUGAGAAAAAUUGAAGAAAGUUUCUUUGUGAAGCAAGUGGGUGAACUUUUGUUAGGUUUUGUCCCAUAUAGAUCCAUUAAAAUUAAUUUAAAUUAUGCUUCAAAUUGUAUUCAUACUUAGUGUGCACCUAUGAGUGAAAGUGAGUUUCCACUUUAUUGGAUUGGUCAAUUUUUUUAAAAAAUUAUUUGAUUAAUUAAAUUUUUUGUUAUGUAUGUCAAUUUAAAAGGAAAUCAGUUUUUAUUUCGUGUUUUUCAAAUUUCAAGGCUCAAACAUAAACGUGAAGAAAUUUCUCCAGUUGCAAGGAGGAUCUAAGGGAUUGUUAGAGUGUUCACUUAAGCUUGCUCAAUAGAAAAAUUAUAUUGUAUAUAUAAGUUUUUUUUAUGUAUAUAUUCAGAUUUUAAAUUGCUUAAACACAAAAUUAUAGGUUGAGUCAUUGUUUUAGGAGGUUCAAAAAUUAUCUUGAGGAUUCAAGUUCAAUUAUCAUGCACAACAUUUUUGUUGUGCGAACCCUUUAGUAAAAAUACGACAUACAUCAGUGUUUGGUUGUAUAAUUUUUUGGGACAUCUGUUUAGUAAAUGAUCAUGCUUUAUUUCUUUAUAACUUGUGAACUUUUCUGAUCAUAAUUUAAAUAUCUCUUUUGAGCAAACUAACAAUUCUUUUGAAAAACGUUGGAUCACAAUUUAAAAUUGUAUAAAUUAUUGUGAAUGUUAAACUAUAGUUUAAUAUUUUAUUUUUAAAAUUGAGCAAUAUAGGAACAAAUCUUAAACUUGAAUCUAACAUUGUCCGAAAAGAACUUUUUCAAGAACUAUAUUUACACGUACUUGCAAAAUUUGAAUAAUUACCCACAAAGAAUAUACAAAGCUGACUCAAUAUUGAGAUCUUUAAUUAAUUAAGGAUUAAUCAAUAUACUAUCAUUUAAGGUUAAUCAAUAUAUCAUUUAAGAAUUGAUGCUACAUAUAUUCUCUUUCAUUUCAACGUGCCUAAUUAAAAUUAAUUGACCUCAAUAUAUAUAUCGAACAUCAAAUAAAAAAUACUACUCAUUCACAAAUAACAACACUAUUUUCUAGAGAAUUGGAUGGACAAACGUGUCCUCUAUGAGACCAUAAAGUCUACCAAGAAUAAUUAUUUUAGAGUAAUAAAUACAUACUUGAUACUACUAUCAUGGCAGGGUGGUCAAGAUUAUGUUUUAAUGACUAUGGGUCCGAGUUAAUUUACGUGUACUUCAAUUAUUUUAUUGACUAUCUAUAUCUCCAUCAGUAUAAGCAACUAUUGCUCUUUCCGUCCAUUUUACUUGUCUACUAUACUAAAAAUAAUUGUCCAACAAUACUUGUCUAGUUUAGAAAAUCAUGGGAUAAUUUACCUUUUCAUAAUUAUUUUAUCCUUGCUAUUAAAUACUAUUCAAUAUCUAAUAUAUUUCUCAAAGCAUUAAAUCUAAUAUAUUCAAAGGAUAAUGAAGUAAUAUUAUCCCUAUUAUUUAUUGUUUCUUAAAGUGUGUACCAAGUCAAUAGUGAACAAUUAUUGUUGGACAGAGAGAGCAGUGAAUCAAAAAAAAUAAUCACCUACUAGUACUUUUGCUUUCGUUAUAAAUUUUGAGUUUGAUACUUGAGAAUAGAAAAUUUCUUUAUAAAGAACGGUUUACAUCCUCUAAUGUGCUUAUCCGGAGGAUAUUAUGUUUAAAGUGUUGUGAUUUCAAAAUAUCUAAGUGUUCAGUUGACAGUGUAGGGAUCGGGAUAAUAAUCAAGUACAAAGAUCUCCUUGAUCAUUCCACCUGAAAUUUAACUGUUUGUUCUUAGCAAUUAUGAAGUAGUCUCACUAACACAAGAAAUGAAUUAUAACGAGUAAAGUAGUAGAAAUCGAAUGAACAUAUAAUUUGGAAAUCUUUCAACAGCUUAUUUUAAGUCAUGUAGAGAAUAUUCUAUAUAUUCUGAUUCUCAUAUUGGGAUAAACUUGGCACCUUAGUUGAGCCAAUAUUACAUACUGUCCAAAAGAAAAUUAAAUGAUAUAACUUCACAACAUAUAUAUUAUGAUCUAGUAAUUCACUAUAAGGUAAAAAAUGAAUUUGAAAAAUUAACAACUUGACAAACAUCUAGCAAAUUGGAAGAGGAGCACCAUUCCAGCUCUUGAGACAUUCCAACAAUGGAUCAAUGAUUUGUCCAUUGCAAAAUGCUGUGAAUACCUUAUCAAUCUCCUCACCGGGAGAUCGAAUUUUUUCACCUGUCAACACUUCUGUUCCAAGUUCUUUCCUUACAAACCUGUAUAAUGGAUAUGAUCUGCAUUCUGUUAUCCUGUUAGGAAUUACAGGGUUGCCACUUUCAAGAACAACUCUUGCACUCUCAACUUCUUUAGGCAACACAGCCUUCAAUUCGUCCUCGAAAGCUACAAUCUUUUGGAAGAUUGAGCUGUUCACAUUCGACUCACUUUCACCAUUCUUCAUUGCAUGAUCAACAAGGACUUGUCUCAGCUUCUGCAUCAAAGGGUAGGUGCAGCUGCAGGGGUCAUCAGCAUAGGUAAACAAGUAUUCCCUUUCCACAACUUGUAGCAAUUCCUUUUCACAGAAUCUUGCUGGAUGAAGUUCACCAUUAGCACCCAUUGUCAAAGUCUUUUUGGCUACUUGGCUUACGGUGUUCUUGACAGCAUUCUUCAAGUUCUCCUCCAAAUGCCUCAAGUCGAUAGCCUGGCAAAGCGCCACGAGAUAG
rnacentral:lncRNA from 1 species